rnacentral:rRNA from 1 species
UUAGCUUGCUAAGGCCGAUGGCGACCGGCGCACGGGUGAGUAACGCGUGAGUAACCUGCCCUGGAGUGGGGGACAACAGUUGGAAACGACUGCUAAUACCGCAUGACGCAUAGAGGUCGCAUGAUCUUUAUGCCAAAGAUUUAUCGCUUCAAGAUGGCCUCGCGUCUGAUUAGCUGGUUGGCGGGGUAACGGCCCACCAAAGCGACGAUCAGUAGCCGGCCUGAGAGGGUGAACGGCCACAUUGGGACUGAGACACGGCCCAAACUCC